rnacentral:rRNA from 1 species
GACGAACGCUGGCGGCGUGCCUAAUACAUGCAAGUCGAACGAAGUGGGGACGGGUGAGGAACACGUGGGUAAACUCCCAUCAGAGGGGAUAACACUUGGAAACAGGUGCUAAACCGAUACUGAUGGAUGGAGCAGCGGUGCAGUAGGUUGUUGGUGAGGGAACGGCUCACCAAGGCCACGAUGCAUAGCCGACCUUCAAGCGUGACCGGCCACACUGUUACUGUGACACGGCCCAGCCUCCAACGUGAGGCAGCAGUAUGGAAUCUUCGGCAAUGGACGAAAGUCUGACCGAGCAACACCGCGUGAGUGAAGAAGGUUUUCGGAUCUUAAAACUCUGUUGUUAGAGAAGCGGUAUCUAACCAGAAAGCCACGGCUAACUACGUGCCAGCAGCCGCGGUAAUUC